rnacentral:rRNA from 1 species
GUCCGGUGUCGUAGUCGUGCACUUCUCCCCUAGUAGGACGUCGCGACCCGCUGGGUGUCGGUCUACGGCCCGGGUGUGGUGACUGUCAUGCUGCCGGUAAAACGGCGCCUGGCAAACCCUCGGUUGCCCGGCCGGCUGCCCGGCGGUACUCUUAAGGUAUCAGGCCGCAAAAAUAUUGCGUCAAGCCCGUCGCAAGCGUGGCCAUUUGGUUAUCGGAGGUACGGACCUAGCGCCGUCCCCGGUCCUGGCCCGCUGUUGGUUGCUUUGAUGACUGGCCUUAAAUAAC